CCUACGGGAGGCAGCAGUGGGGAAUAUUGGACAAUGGGGGCAACCCUGAUCCAGCCAUGCCGCGUGUGUGAAGAAGGCCCUCGGGUUGUAAAGCACUUUCAGUGAGGAAGAACGCCUGGUGGUUAAUACCCAUCAGGAAAGACAUCACUCACAGAAGAAGCACCGGCUAACUCCGUGCCAGCAGCCGCGGUAAUACGGAGGGUGCGAGCGUUAAUCGGAAUUACUGGGCGUAAAGCGCGCGUAGGUGGCUUGAUAAGCCGGUUGUGAAAGCCCCGGGCUCAACCUGGGAACGGCAUCCGGAACUGUCAAGCUAGAGUGUAGGAGAGGAAGGUAGAAUUCCCGGUGUAGCGGUGAAAUGCGUAGAGAUCGGGAGGAAUACCAGUGGCGAAGGCGGCCUUCUGGACUGACACUGACACUGAGGUGCGAAAGCGUGGGUAGCAAACAGGAUUAGAUACCCUUGUAGUC
rnacentral:rRNA from 1 species